UACGGGGGGAGCAAGCGUUGUUCGGAUUUACUGGGCGUAAAGGGCGCGUAGGCGGCCACCGCAAGUCGAUUGUGAAAUCUCCGGGCUUAACCCGGAAAGGUCAACCGAUACUGCGGGGCUAGAGUGCAGAAGGGGCAACUGGAAUUCUCGGUGUAGCGGUGAAAUGCGUAGAUAUCGAGAGGAACACCUGCGGCGAAGGCGGGUUGCUGGGCUGACACUGACGCUGAUGCGCGAAAGCGUGGGGAGCGAACAGG
rnacentral:rRNA from 1 species